UCGGGCUUCAGGAGACUCCCUGUAACUUGACAGCAUCAGUUAUGGGAGUGGAUUGUGACUGGAGGGGAGCGAGCUCCCCUGUAUUUGUCACUUCGACAGGACCCUGUGGUUGUGGCAGCCGCGGGUAAAUCUCUCACUCGCUUAAAUGGGAACAGGGUUGGGCCCAUAGUCUUUAGUUGUCUGGAUUUGUUGUUUCACUUCACUUAUAAAUCACCCUGUAUUCAAACUAAAACCCCCAAAUCCUGGGUAGCUGUAUGGAAAUAAAUAUUUGGUUUUUGGGAUUUAUUUGGGGUUUGUGCACUGUAUUUUGCAGGCCAGCUUUUUUUCUUGAAAAAAAGAUUACAUUUGUAAUCUUGUUUUUUUUUUUUUUUAAAGGGUUGUGACAAUCAUGUACUGAUUGCAUCUCUUUUAAAGUACCCUACUAACGCUUUAAAAAGCAAAAGUGCUUAAGCUUAGUGUGUGAAAUUCAUGAGGCAUCUUGGAAUUUAUCCCUUGAAGCAAAUAUAUGUUCUAUGACCCAGUAAAUGCCAGCUGCCAGAAGAGGGAUUUCUUUGGAUUUCUUUGAUUUCUUUCUUUCUUUCUAUUAUAUAUAUAAUAUUAUACACACAGUGCCUAUUACAGACCAGCGUGCAGCCUAGUGUGUGUGGACAGACCUCUGUGCAAAUGUGGAGUACCCUUGAAUUCAGUGGGUCUCCGUGUGCGUGUGGGGAUCUAUCUGCCUGUGUGUCAUGUUACAAAAUCUGGGCCUAAGCACUCUAUAAAUACAAAGGUUUCCAAACAAAUGCAAUAGUGUAUAGGAUUUACACCAGCAUUCAGUUCCUGGCCACAUUCUUAAUGAAUGCCUUUACUAUUAAUAUAUGAAGUUUUUUAAAAGAACAGAUAGAUGUUGGCUCAUCAAAUCAGUAUGAGGUUUCUGUUAAACACAAUCCUUAAUUGGUACGCCAUUUAUUGUUACUCUUAUCUCCUGCGGGCUUCCAUGAAGACAUUUGAAUAAACAUAGCAAAUGGAAGAUAAGUGAUCAAAUAUUUAUCACUACUUACUUUGAGGACUUUGAAUAAAUGUGAUCUGUUUAAAGUUGUUUUCAGUGUUGUUGUAGCCAUGUUGGUCUCAGGAUUUGAGAGAGAGGGUGGAUGCGGUAAUAUCUCUUAUUGGACCAACUUCUGUUGAUGAAAGAGACAAGCUUUCGAACUACACAGCUCUUCCUCAGGUCUGGGAAAUAUCUUAGGGCUUGUCUUCGCAGACAGCGCUACAGUGGUGCAGCUGCAGCACGUUGUUGAAGAUGCUCUUACGCCUUCGGGAGAACGUCUACCGUAUGUGUAGUUUAAUCCACCUCCCUGAGAGGCAAUAGUAGCUACGUUGGUGGGAGAAACUCUCCCAUUGACAUGGGGGUGUCCACAAAGGGGGUUAAGCCAUUAUAACUACGUCUCUCAGUGAUGUGGAUAUAGGUUGGUACGUCUGUUGUGUAGCCCUGGCCUUAAAGUGUGCGUUGACUAUUAUGCUAAACUAUGUUCCACCUUGUAUUUAGUUGUAUUUUCCCAGACCUGAAGAAGAGUGCUGUGUAGCUUGAAAACUUGUCCCUUUCAUCAACAGAAGUUGGUUCAGUAAAAGACAUUUUCACCCUCCUUGUCUGUUUAAAUUUAACCAUUUAUUCGUAGAUUUGAUUAGAGCUCUGAACAACAGAAGCACUGAAAAACUAUCUGCAGAUGCAUGAAAACACCAUUGCAACAGUUUUGUUUUUGUUCAUAUUUGAAAAACAACUAUAUCUGUGCAACUAUAAAGGCUAGAAACUUUUUUGAGCACUUCAAUUCUGUGGAAAUUGAUAAUUGUUUAGAAACCUAUCCUCGCCAAGAAAAACUUCACAGUGAGGAGUAGGAUACCUGUAAAAGAUGGUGGAUCGCUUGGCGAACAGUGAAGCAAAUACUAGACGAAUAAGUAUAGUGGAAAACUGUUUUGGAGCAGCUGGUCAACCUUUGACCAUUCCUGGUCGUGUUCUGAUUGGAGAAGGAGUGUUAACAAAGCUGUGUAGGAAGAAACCUAAAGCAAGACAGUUUUUCUUAUUCAAUGAUAUUCUUGUCUAUGGCAACAUUGUUAUCCAGAAGAAAAAAUACAAUAAACAGCACAUAAUUCCACUGGAAAAUGUCACUAUUGAUUCCAUCCAAGAUGAGGGGGACUUACGGAAUGGGUGGCUUAUCAAGACACCAACAAAAUCUUUUGCCGUUUAUGCUGCCACUGCAACAGAGAAGUCUGAAUGGAUGAGCCACAUAAAUAAAUGUGUUUCUGAUUUGCUUUCCAAAAGUGGGAAGACACCCAGUAAUGAACAUGCAGCUGUCUGGGUACCUGACUCAGAGGCUACUGUUUGUAUGCGUUGUCAGAAAGCAAAAUUUACACCUGUCAAUCGUCGUCACCACUGUCGCAAAUGUGGCUUUGUUGUAUGCGGACCCUGUUCUGAAAAGAGGUUUCUUCUUCCCAGUCAGUCAUCCAAGCCUGUGCGGAUUUGUGACUUCUGUUAUGAUCUUCUUUCUGCUGGGGAGAUGACUACUUGUCAGCCCACUAGAUCAGACUCUUACAGCCAGUCACCUAAGUUCCCUUUAAAUGAUGUAUCCGAUGAUGACGAUGAUGAUGAUAGCAGUGACUAAGGACCAAAUACUGUUUUCAGGCGUUGUAAUUGGUGUUUUGAACCAUAAAGAGCUGCUUUUGGGGAAACCUGUAGCCAGACUCCUCUGAAAUUCUAUUGUAGCCAUAAAAUUUGCCUGAGUAUCUUCAACUACAAUGUGCCUCAAUAUGAAUGCUCUAGACAAUAGGCUUUUCACUCUUCUGCAGGGAUAGACUGUUGCAAAUAUAUCAGAAAAUUUUCCAACUUUUUAUACUUGAGUUAUGUCUAGAGUAGACUUGUUGUUGAAGAUUGGAAAAUUCAGCGUAGCUUUCUUUGUUAUUUAACAACCAUGCUACAUUGUUUGAUAGUGAUACUUUAUCAUUUCUGUUUUUUUAUAUGGGAAAAUAAUAAACAUGCAUGAAACUAUGAUAAAUAUAUUUUGGUUAAUUCCAUCAAAUUAUUAGCUUUUUCUAACCAUGUUAUGUAAUGAUAAAUUGAAUUGACAUUUCGUAACAUAUAUUCAUACUUCAAAUGUCACUAAUUUAGGGAAAAAAUUGUUUUGCAUUUAUUUAUGACCAGCAGUGCCUUGUAAUGAUUGUGCUGUUUCGGGAAGAAACAAACCUGUUGCAUACUAUCUGGAUUUGCAUGGCACAGAUAUCUGAGAAUUGAUGGUGCUAUUGAAAAUAAUUGCUGUGGUAAAAUAAGGUUUUGGAAAGCGCAUUAAUGUAUUCAUACCAAUGCAGUGAGUGACUAUGGCCCCAAUCAUGUAACCUAAUCUGUGAGGGCAGUCCACUGGUACACAUGCAAAUUCCAACAAACUUGAGUGGGCUUCCACAGAAGUUGUAGAGGCUCACUUGCAUGCAUCAAAUUACAGGGUCAUUAUCUCUGGUGGAUAAAUUUAGUGUGAUCUUCUCCACAUGGAUAUACAAUCUCAUUUCUCUUCAAAAUAGUUUUAAGAUUUCUUACAUUUUUAUAUUUUAUAGGUAUCAGAAAUAGUAAUUGGCAAUUGCAUUGUUAAAUUUUGACUGGUGGUUUAAGUAACAUUUUGUUCCUGAAAUGUAUUAAAUUGUUCUGAAUUGCUUCCCAAUAUGACACUAAUUUGUUUAUUUCACAUUAGCGGGAGGUAUUUUUAGGUAAAGAUUGGAAUUUAUUUUUAAAUAAGCUAGUGUGAAAAAUUUCUGACCAACAAUCUGUGAACACAUCUGGAAAAAUGGCUCUUCUUUAUACACAACAGACCUCAAGUUAAAAGUGGAAUGCAGAUUAUUUCCUUUUAAACAUGUGUGUGUAUAUAUAUACACACACUCAUGACCAAGAAAACUGUAACGAAGUUACGAAAUGGUCAGUGCAGAAAAUGUCUCUAACAGAGUUCACUUUACUUUUAUCAAGUUCUUUUCUACAGAAGUAUGAUAUUCCUAUAUAAAUGUAAAAGUUAAUUUUGUGAAGAUUUGUAAAGUCCUAAACAUGUUGACAUUUCUUUAUUUUUAUAAUAGUCAAUUUUUAUGUGAAAAAACCUCUGAAAUAAUUGUAUGGGAAUAUAGUAGCAACUGAUUUUAUAAAAAGAAACAUGAUUGUUAAAUUUAUAUAUAGAUGUUUAUUAAGUGACAAUUUCUGCACUGUUUGUCUUGGCUGGCAAUAAUUGGGUUAAAAGUAUUUAUUGAAUAAACAGUCAAUGCUGCAUAUUGCACUAGUCUCCCAAUCUGUACAUUGUAACUCUGUUUUUAGCAAAAUUACAAUGUAAAGCAAUAAUUCUCAAUUCAGUAUCUAACUAGCUAAAGAGUACAAUUAACAUAAGAAUUGCUGUAAUUUUAAAUUGAACAAAGAUGCUAUUUUCUUUGAAAAGCAUGGAAGUAAAAAGUUUGAUCUGCUUUAAAAUAAAUAUUGAAAGGGGGAAAACACUUUCUGUAAUUAGGUUCUACGGAACAGGGGCACUCUUUAAUAUUACCUGAUAAGCAAUAAAUGGGGGAGUGUGCUCAAAAGGAUAGCUGAAAUAAAUCAGUGUACUCAUACCUUGAGUCAUAGGAAACAAUGACUUGCAGAACUGAGGAACAAUGUUCUGUUCUGAGAGAGUAUUUUCAGGCAACAAAUCUUACCUUUGUGCUUAUGCAAUAAUAUUUCUGUUUCAGAAAUGGAGGCUAAAUUUAAUUAGCUUAGUUUUUCUAUAGAAACCUAAUUCAUAGCCUUUGUGUAAAUAUCUGUGCUAAUGAUUAACAAUAUAAUUUAGUUUUCUUUUCUUAAGCUGUGGUACAAGAUUAAUAUUCACUUGUCUUGUUUCAGAAUUCCAUCCUUUGUAUAUCUUUCCAGUAUGUUUGUAAGUUGCACAUAUGUCUUCAGCACUUUUAUUUUUUUCUGGGAGGAAACAUUUACAUUUCUUCCUAAGUUAUUUCUGCAGAAUGUUCUUGCACCUACCCGAAUCCAUCAUUACCUGUUAACAAAAUUUGUACUAUGCUGCACUGAUUCCUGAAGCUGUAACCAAACUGACAUCUAAAGGGGAAAAAUCAUUGUUUCAUCUGAAACUAAUGUAUACAGUCAAAGCUCUUAGAGAACAUAAAAAUGUUUUGGUAAUAUGCAUAUUCCAUUGUGGUGUUUCAAAUAAUUUUUUUAACGGGUGUAAAUUGUCUUGUACUUUCAGAUUAUUCAAAGGGCUCAAUACGUGACUUGUAAUCUUGUUUUCGGUCAAAUCUACUUAUUUUACUUACAAAUAUAUGGUGUAGCUUCAAACCUG